GGCGGCCGGCGCGCCCUGAGUCCGCGGUGCCCCCCGCAGACCCCACGCGGGCGGCUGGAAAGAAACACCGAGGGCCCAGAGGCAACCUCUGCCUGAGGGUCUCUUCCUUCUCAGCACCCCCAACACGCUCUGCCACAUCCUGGCUGGCAGACCACUGUCACACCAGGUAAGCCCCCUUAACCUGUAUCACAACUCAUCUCAGUGUUUCUCAGCCAGGAGCCCAGGUGGCUACCUCCUCAGAGCCAGUCAGGACCCCUGCUGUGUGAUGGGGAGUAGGUAGAGGUGGGGAGCCAGAGGUGAGCCUUGAACUCACACGUGUGCCGUGCACGCACACGCACACGCGCACGCGCACACGCACACACACACACACACACACACCUGGCAUUCCAGUCGCCUAAUAAAUGUGGAAAAGAAAUAAUUCUGCCCUCCCAAAGGUGAACUGGAAAGCCUAGACUAGAGGAGAUUAUUCUGUGCCAACUGCAACAGACACAACUGAAAGGGACCCAGUGACAGCCACACAGUUCCACUCACACACAGUCCUCCUGGCAAACCGCAACAUCCCUGAAUGCAUUCUUCCAGCCACCACCCCGUUCAAUUCUUAGAAAACCCAAAGGGCCAUGCAAAAGUUGCAUAGGAGAAAUGUGAUUUUGCAAGCAGACAGACAACCCUGGGGGUCCAGUAAGUCUACAGUCUAGAAAUCAGGCUGCACCGGCAAGGGGAUGCUGCAGAAAGAACAGCCUAGUGUAUGCUACAUCAAAGGCCUUCUACCAAACCCCUGGACCCAUGCAAGCCGAUUCCUACUCUCUGUGACUUUAAACGAGUCUCUGACCCAACCUGGGCAUGGGGCUGGGGUACCAGCCUGUAUAAUAGUGUCAUUUAGCCCAGACUAAACGACAGCCGUUAACCGAGUGGCAUGCAUUUGCUGCUCGGCCCAGUGGGAACAUCAACCCGUAGGGCUAUCAGAGCUGGCCGACACUGUGAAAACAACAAGCUGCUUAUGUAACACUGUAUCCAACAGGCUUCCAAACACCUUCUCUAUACCUGGCUCUGGAGAAACGGCAGGAAGCAAAAAAUGAGAGCUCCGAACCUCAAGACUCUGGGAAUUUGGUACAACCAGUGGUUAACAUAGGCAGUGCUGGAGGAGGGUCCAAGACCCCCUCACAGGCACCCUAGGGGGCUUCUCAAAGGAAACACCCUACACUGUACUGGUAGAGAAACCAGCGUAGUGACCGCCCCUUAAGCCUACAGAGUGAAAGAGGCUCCGUUCUUUGCUUCCAACUCUUAGAUAAUAAGGAGGUCGAUACUGCAAAUAUCCUGGUUUCUCAAGAUUCCAGAACUCAGGAGAGAGGUUUAAAGUACUGUUACUCUACAGGGCUCGGGCAGAUAUGUGGGGGACGACGGGCAGCCAUAACUCUCACCUAUGGGCUUUGAGCCUACACAGAUAUUUCCAACCAAUUUGCCACCAGUUUUCAUGCCGUAGUGAGCAUCCUAACCACAAGUUGGUUACCCAAAACUGCUCAGCUGCCCCUAUCCUCAGAGUGAGCCCUAGCGUCUUCCAGAGAUCAGCAUGAGUGAAACCAUCAAGGAACUUACUCCACCCCUAGCCCCAGCCCAUCACCGCACAGGGGCCACGAACUCCCCUUCCUCCCUACGGUCCAGCUUAGGCUUGCCAUAGCUCUCGACCCAUCCUGACCCUUCCUUCCAGGCCCUCCUACCUGAUCUUGUUGUGGCCACCCCUGCCUGCUGAGGGGCCGCUGAUGUCAUUCUCCAGUUCACCAUCCCUGUCACGGUCUUUCUCCUCCUGAAGCCUCUGGAGCAAGAGUUGAUGAGGGAGGCUUCGGAGAGUGGGCCCUGGAGAAGCUGCGGGCUGAUCACCUUUCAGGUUGAUAUCACUGGCUGAGCGCUGUAAGGGCCGUGGGGAUGCCAGGCCACUCGGGCCAGCCAGACGCCGUCGCUUUGCAUAGCUGGGGGUUUCCCUGAAUGGUACUGGAGUAGAGGGGCAGGAGUGAGACUCGAGAUUCAUUGAUUUUUUUUUUUUAAAUAAUUACAUCAUUUCUCUUUUCCCUCCCUCCAAACCAAUCCGUAUUCCUUUCCUUGCUCUUUCACAUUCGUGCCCUCAUUUUCAUUGUUAUCACGUGCAUAUAUGUAUGUACAUGGAUAUAAGCUGCUGGGUAAAUAUAAUGUUACUUGUAUGGAUGUUUUCAGGGCUGACCAUUAGGUAUUCGAUAACCAAUUAUUGUGUUCUUCUCUGGGGAAGAUGUCUCUCCCAUUCCCAGUAUGCCCCAGUUGCCUGCCGUUCUUUGUGUGAGGCAACUGAUCUUUUAAAACUAAAAUACUGGCCUAGAAGAUAGUGCAGUCAUUAAAGUGUUUUGUGUGCAAAAACUGGGGAGCUGAAUUCAAUCUGCAGCACCCACAUAAAAAGCCAGGAGUGUUGGCAUGCACUUGAAAUACCGGUGCAGGUGAUGUGGAGACAGGCAGAUAGAUCCCUAGGGCUCUCCAGCCAGCCUGCCUAGCAUAAUCGGUCAGCCCUAAGCCCUACCAAGAGACCCCGUCUCCAAAAUCAAUUUGGGGUAACUCCUGAGGAAAAAUACCCGAGGUUGACUUCUGACUCCAAUACACAUGUACACUUACCUGCAUAUCUAUAAAUUUACACACACAUACGAAUAAAUGAAUGUAAAACAUGCUCUAGGAAGUGCCCCAAUCCCAGGAAAUCAGAACAGUUAACCACAUUAAUGUGGUCACCACUGGGUGGCCACAUCCCAGUCCUGCUCCCUCCAACCCUGACUUUACAGAUCGACGUUUGCUUCUCUUCUCAGCCAACUAAGGCCUCGGCAUGCCCAGCUCUGUGGUCAGAACUUCCCGUUCUACAGGCUUCAGGAUAAAGCAGGCUACAUGUGAUGAGUCUCAUCCAACUACUGCUAUGUGAGACUAUAUACUAUUGACUAUAGCCAGGGAAACUAAAAAAAGGCAUUCUAGACUGGAGCCAGAAAACAUCCU
ensembl:processed_transcript